GCCCGCCUAGCUCAAUCGGAUAGAGCGUCAGACUUUUACGGGCGUGGCUGUAUUCAUCUGAAGGCUGCGAGUUCGACCCUCGCGGUGGGCU